rnacentral:rRNA from 1 species
UGGGGAAUUUUGGGCAAUGGGCGAAAGCCUGACCCAGCAACGCCGCGUGAAGGAUGAAGUAUUUCGGUAUGUAAACUUCGAAAGAAUAGGAAGAAUAAAUGACGGUACUAUUUAUAAGGUCCGGCUAACUACGUGCCAGCAGCCGCGGUAAUACGUAGGGACCAAGCGUUGUUCGGAUUUACUGGGCGUAAAGGGCGCGUAGGCGGCAAUUCAAGUCAUCUGUGAAAUCUCUGGGCUUAACCCAGAACGGCCAAGUGAUACUGUCGCGCUAGAGUGCAGAAGGGGCAAUCGGAAUUCUUGGUGUAGCGGUGAAAUGCGUAGAUAUCAAGAGGAACACCUGAGGUGAAGACGGGUUGCUGGGCUGACACUGACGCUGAGGCGCGAAAGCCAGGGGAGCAAACGGGAUUAGAUACCCAAGUAGUCCCUG